rnacentral:rRNA from 1 species
CCUACGGGGUGCUGCAGUGGGGAAUAUUGCACAAUGGGGGAAACCCUGAUGCAGCGACGCCGCGUGAGUGAAGAAGUAUUUCGGUACGUAAAGCUCUAUCAGCAGGGAAGAAAAUGACGGUACCUGACUAAGAAGCCCCGGCUAACUACGUGCCAGCAGCCGCGGUAAUACGUAGGGGGCAAGCGUUAUCCGGAUUUAUUGGGUGUAAAGGGAGCGUAGACGGCAGCGCAAGUCUGGAGUGAAAUCCCAUGGCUUAACCAUGGAACUGCUUUGGAAACUGUGCAGCUAGAGUGCAGGAGAGGUAAGCGGAAUUCCUAGUGUAGCGGUGAAAUGCGUAGAUAUUAGGAGGAACACCAGUGGCGAAGGCGGCUUACUGGACUGUAACUGACGUUGAGGCUCGAAAGCGUGGGGAGCAAACAGGAUUAGAUACCCGGGUAGUC